CAGUCGCCACGGUAAAACAGAGGGUGCGAGCGUUAAUCGGAUUUACUGGGCGUAAAGCGUGCGUAGGCGGCUAAUUGAGUCGGAUGUGAAAUCCCCGAGCUUAACUUGGGAAUUGCAUUCGAUACUGGUUAGCUAGAGUGUGGGAGAGGAUGGUAGAAUUCCAGGUGUAGCGGUGAAAUGCGUAGAGAUCUGGAGGAAUACCGAUGGCGAAGGCAGCCAUCUGGCCUAACACUGACGCUGAGGUACGAAAGCAUGGGGAGCAAACAGGAUUAGAUACCCCCGUAGUCCCUGUCUCUUAUAC
rnacentral:rRNA from 1 species